rnacentral:snRNA from 1 species
UGAUAUGUUCAGAGAUUCAGUGA